CGUUAGGUUCCCGAGCGCGCGAAUUUGGGAAAUUCUAGGUUUCCAAGCGAGCAAUGGCCGCCUCGCCGCCCAACCGGGAGCGGCGGCUCGCAGCGGCGGAGCCGGAGCCGCCGCCGCCGGACGGUCUGGGUGCGCUCCCCGUAGAGGUCCUCGACAACAUCCUCGGCCGCCUCCACAUCUACGAGGUGGUCCGCACCUCGUCGCUCUCCCGCGCGUGGCGGCGCCGCUGGGAGUCGCUCUCCACCUCGACCUGACCCGCAGCCCCGGCGUCGCGGCGUCCGACGUCGACGCGGUCCUCCUCCGGCGCUCCGCCGCCGCCCCCGUCCGCGCCUUCCGCCUCGUCGCGCGUGACCCCUCCUGGUUCGUCGACGCCCUCCACGACUGGCUCCUCCACCUCUCCCGCAACGGCGUCCAGGCCCUGGAGCUGUGGUUCCCGACCUACAACUUCCAGCUCCAUUCCUGCCUCUUCUCCUGCCGCGAGCUCGCCUGCCUCGACCUCGACAGCUGCCGCCUCCCGCCCGCACGCAUGGGGUUUGAGGGAUUCCCGAACCUGAAGAAGCUACGCCUCCAUGAAGUUACCCUCCCGGAGCACAUGGGAAAUAUGUUGGCUGCCUUGAUUUCCGCGUCGCCAUUGCUGGAGGAGGUGGAGCUUGUAAGUGUGUUUCUUGUCGGCGACUACCCUGACGAGGAGUGGGUGAUUCGUGCGCCCAAUCUCCGGAAGCUUAUAAUGGUUGCUGCGUUUCCUUAUGGUGGCCGAGUGGAGGAGCUUCCACGACUGGAGCAAGGGAUUCUGUGCGGCCCCAACUACGCCAAGUUCUUGACGGGGAUGGCUCAUGUGACCAAGCUAGAGUUCAUGUGCCACUAUAUGUUGUCAACUGAAGUUGAUGUGCUGGAGCAGCUACCGUUCUUGUUUGAGAAUCUUAGGAGCUUAGUCAUUAGUGUUAAUUUCUGUAAAAUGUCCCACAUUUUAUUUAUGUUCUGUCUACUUAGAAGUGCUCCUGUUCUUGAAGAACUUGAUGUUGUGGGACAAAGCAAUGAUGCUCAGGAUAUUGAUGCGAAUGAUGAGUUCUUGAAUGCUCAGCCAACCUAUGAUAUGUUUGCGAAACUUCGUGUUGUGCGAAUGAAGAAGGUUGCUUGCCUCUGUAAUGAGAUGCACUUUAUGGAGUUUGUUCUAAACAAAGCAAGAGUACUGCGAGUGCUAUCUGUUUAUCCUUCUUCUGGCGUCACUUGUAGUAAUGAGCAGGCUUUUAUAACAGAACAUCCGAGAGUUUCACCUGAUGCACAAGUCAUCUUCAUGAAUAGAGAAUCUGCAAACAAGUAAGCAUUCUGAUUCUAAUAUUUUCUUGUGUUGUUCCAUAAACCCAUCGGUCACUGUCUUGUCCUAAACCACAAUUAAAUACAGUUAUACUUGGCAAUGCCUUCUAGUAUACAUAUUUGGUCGCGCUGUUGAAAUGUAAAUGCACUCCAGGGUGGACACCAUGGAAACCUGCAUUCCUAGUUAGGUCUGAGUCUUACAGGAAGUUGUUCUGCCCCCUCAUGCUCCAUGCUUCCACUUCCUCCUUCGACAAUCGACAACUCUCCAGAUCUACAGCAUACCUGUCCAUCUCCUACUCAUGCUUCAGCUAACCAGAUAAACUUCUAUCUGUUUACAUCUGCAAUCUGUAUAUCUCGGUUCUUCUGCUCUGCUUUCCCUUUCUGAUCUUUUUUAUAUCAAGUUCCAAACAUAGAGAAUUAUUCCUAUGCAUCUACUCUAACUAGGACUCUGUCACUGAACUCUAUAGUUCCAAGCAAGUCUGAUAAGUUCAUCUUUUGAUAUAUUUUAGAACUGUCACUGAACUCUAUAGCUUGUUACUACAACUGUCAUUGAAAUCUAUAACUGAGUAUUUAUUUCAUGCCUUUAUCCUUGUACUCUGUGACAACCUUGCUGGUAUACUAUAUGCACACUUGGUAAGUAAACUGAUAGUGUAUUCACUGCCUUAUAUUGGCUAUAGCUUACAUUAUAAAGUUAAGUUGGUCCUUCCAACAUAUUGAAAAAUGUAUUUGUGCUUCUCAAAAUCUUUAGCAGUGAAUUGCACUCAAGAAACUAAUUUUUUUCUUUGAAACUGCAGUAGUGCGGUUUCAUACUUUCACGGGAGCCUGUAAGCUCCCCAGUAUGUGGAUUCUCCUCUCCUUCCAAAGUGUUGCUGCGAUGCAUGAUGAGGAGUAAUGGUACCUCCUCACAAAUAAGAACUUGAAAACACGCUGCCCCUGGCCCUGCGUGCUUGCAAGUACCAUUAGAGAAGCUUCACGUGGUACCACCCCACAUAUUUCACUUUUACAUGUGACAAGGGCCUCUGCAACAAUGGCAAGGUGGCGUGGAUGCAUUUGCUAGGAGGUAGUCUCGAUUGACAGUUGAUAAUCUGCUUCUUAGCUGGAAGCUGAAUUUUGUUUUGAGGUGAAACCGGAAUGAGUUGAAAGAUUUUGAAUCAAUUUGUAAAUUGUUGAAUCAAACUGAAAAAAAAAUCUUUUAAUAUGAGUGGGAUGACAUUGAAUAGGGGAAAUGUUUUUCGUAUUGAGUUGAAAAUUUCUUGAACCGAGUUGAUGAGCAGCUGCAGAUUCCAAUGUGGGGACAAAUCUUAGGACAGGCAGUGGGAGAGGGCUACUGGGGAAGUGGGGAGUCCUCAUAACAUGUGUUGGUGGGACAAAGUAGUAAGGCAUGAAUGGUGUAUCUGUCCCCUUCCCACAAACACUCUUAAAAUAGUUGCUCAUCUUUUUUUUUCUUGUAUAUUUAGCACUAUGAAAUUUGCCUUCCCCGUAUCCAUCUGAUACUGAUAUUCUUCUUACUUUUAAUCUAACUUAAUGCCAGUGGUUACAUGGACACUCCCAGUGUUAAUUAUAAGUUGGAAACAACAAGAACAGGCAACUGGAUAGAUCUUGCACAUCCUUGCAAAAUUAAUCGGUUGGAUCUAGAUGCCGUGGAUCAGCAUAAACAUAUUGAGGAGAUGUUGCUAAUACGGCAAAAGUUACUGAAAGAACGCAAGGAGAUGGCACAGGCUCUUCAUGAAGAUAAGAAGCUUUUGCUAAACUACUUCGCUGCAGUUAAAAAAUACUUCACUUCUAACCUAAAGUAUCUGUCUGAGCAAUUGAACAUUUCCAUUCCACCAUUUCCUGAGCCUUCGUCAGUCUCAUCAUCUUCCCAUCCUACCUCGCCCAGGUUGGCAGAAGCUCUUACCGAUCCUGCCAGUCGUAGUGCUGACAAUGUGCAAGCAGAUUCUCGAGCUGACCAGGUAGCCAUUGGUGCUUCCAGUGCUCGUGCCAAUUCUCCUAAACCUGAAGACAAUGUCUGACGAGUCUUUCAGCUGCUGUCUUCUGCUUCUUUCUUCCUGAUGUAGCUAUUCGAUUUCUUGUAACUCUGGAUUCUGUUUGCAUUUUUGCUGAAUGAUGUACGGCAUGAUCUCGACUUAAGUUUAGUGCGUGAUGGUUUUAUCA